UUAAUUGAAGAGUUUGAUCAUGGCUCAGAUUGAACGCUGGCGGCAGGCCUAACACAUGCAAGUCGAGCGGAAACGACAACAUUGACCCUUCGGGUGAUUUGUUGGGCGUCGAGCGGCGGACGGGUGAGUAAUGCCUGGGAAAUUGCCCUGAUGUGGGGGAUAACCAUUGGAAACGAUGGCUAAUACCGCAUAACGUCUACGGACCAAAGAGGGGGACCUUCGGGCCUCUCGCUUCAGGAUAUGCCCAGGUGGGAUUAGCUAGUUGGUGAGGUAAUGGCUCACCAAGGCGACGAUCCCUAGCUGGUCUGAGAGGAUGAUCAGCCACACUGGAACUGAGACACGGUCCAGACUCCUACGGGAGGCAGCAGUGGGGAAUAUUGCACAAUGGGCGCAAGCCUGAUGCAGCCAUGCCGCGUGUAUGAAGAAGGCCUUCGGGUUGUAAAGUACUUUCAGUCGUGAGGAAGGC
rnacentral:rRNA from 2 species